rnacentral:tRNA from 1 species
UGUCCGAUCGUCCAAUGGCAGGACAUUAGACUUUGACUCUAAGAAUCUAGGUUCGAAUCCUAGUCGGACAACCA